GGUACUAACAGCAGGCUUAUAAGCCCUGGAACAAUCGCUGCACUAGCCCAGCCCAUCCACGUAACUUCUACGCCUAAGGUUUUGGCAGCCAAAGCUACGCACAACGGGUUGCCAGCCAUCGAUGUAACAAACAUAGUACAAGUUACAGCAUCACAAUGAUAGCCAACCUGCAUCAGAUAAGUACCGAUUUUCUUGGCGGUUGCCCCCGGUUCUGAGCCCAAAGCUCCCGCUAAAGAU
rnacentral:antisense_RNA from 1 species